AUCCAGACUCAUUAUUCUUUGUUCUUUCUAAUGUUGUAAUUCUCCCUCCAAAAGGCAGGAGCUUUCUUCAGCCCUUUGAUCAGGGUAUAAUUGAAGCAUUCGGGAGAUGUUACACCAAAUAUAUGUUUGACAACUUGGCUGACUGUGUUGAAAAAACCCUCGCUUUAGUUUGAAAGAAAAUGGCAACGUUACAACAUUGCUGUUGCUUUGGUACUGGUAAAAGAGGUAAUGGAUAAUGUAAAACCAGCUCUUCUUAAUAAAGGGUGCUGGAAACUUCGAGAAGAUGUUGUGACUGAUUAUGCAUAUUUCCCUAGAGCUGAUGAAGAAGUUGAAAAAUCAGUGUUUGCUAGACAGAUGGGUUUUGUUUAUUUAUUUAUUUAUUUAUUUAUUUUUGAGACAGAGUCUCAGUAUGUCGCCCUUGGUAGAGUGCUGUGGUGUAACAGCUCAUAGCAAUCUCAAACUCUUAGGCAUAAAUGAUUCUCUUGCCUCAGCCUCCCAAGUAGCUGGACUUCAGGCACCCACCACAACACCUGGCUAUUUUUUGUUGCAGUUGUCAGUUGUCAUUGUUUAGCUGGCCUGGGCUGGGUUUGAACCCACCAGCCCCUGUGCAUGUGGCGGCAUCCUAACCACUAAGCUAAGGUGCUGAGUGGAUAGAUGGGUUUUUAAAUUUAUCAUUAUCAAGGAAAUUAAUAAGCUGCUUAAGUUUCAGUCUUUGGUGAUAAAUGAGCCUUUCUCUAUCCAUAGAGGCAAUUGAAUUCUGUCUUACACCAGGCCUCAGACCUCAUUAAUGCUGCAAUUGAUAGAGAUCCUUUCCUGGAUGGAAGUUUGGUUUUAAAACAGAUUUCAGUAAAUUGCUGUCUGCCUAUAAUGAGAUGCAAAUGAACAUGAAAAAUAAAGGAGUGGAGGAAAGAAAAGGAAGACAAGUGAUGAAGAGGAAGUAGUGUGGGUGAAGAGGAUGGUACAGAAUAUGUGCCUGAGGUAAAGUCUGAGUCUGAAUCAAAAUCGAAGUCUUGAAUCCAAAUCCGAAUCUGAUAAGAAACAGGAGAAGAUAGAGAAUAAGAAACCCUUGGAUCCUCCAGCACCAGCACUCAGACUUUUGAUAUCUGAAUUUGCUAUGAAUUGAACUUUUAGAAUGUAACCUUGAAAAUGAAUCCUGAGAAAGUCAAGGUACCUGAAUUGAAGGACAAAGACGUUUCAGAGGCUGGUUUUUCCAAAUAAUAGUUCAUUUCCUGCCCUCCUUCCCUUGUCACCCCAACAUACCCGCUUUCUCACUGCCUUCAGCAGCAGCAGCCCCGUAUCUGUAUCAUUUAGUCCUUCAACAAACAUUGAACUUAAAUUCUAUGGGAUUCAGAGCUAAACUUUGAAGCAUCAUCUCAGGAUAUCCUUGGAUUUGAGUUAAUGACAACAAAGCCUUCCAGGGUCUCCUUGCUGUCCAGCCAUAGCAGUCUCAUUCUGUCACCUGGGCUAGAGUACAGUGGAGUCUUUAUAGCUCACUGCAACCUCAAACUGCCGGGCUCAAGCGAUCUUCCUGCCUCAGGCUCUCCCCCACCAGUAGCUAGGACUACAGGCCUCCCAACACUGUAGGAAGUGGAUGGGGCUGAAGUAAUCAAGCCCAUCGGAGAGAUGAAGUAGUUCAGCUCUCAGAGAACCUUUCUGAAGAACUGGUUGGAUGAUGUUGAUUCUGCAAAACCGGGCUCUGAAUCCUUCCUCUGUUAGCUGUUGGGCAUGAGGGACCAGAAGGGGAUUCCCCAGCAAUCCUCCUCCCUCUAUCAUUGGUCUGAGGGUCAGGCUGGAGGAGGAGCCUAGGAACAGGGGACAGUGGGGGAAGGUUUACCCUCUUG